GAUGAACGCUGGCGGCGUGCUUAACACAUGCAAGUCGAACGAAGAGCGAUGGAAGCUUGCUUCUAUCAAUCUUAGUGGCGAACGGGUGAGUAACGCGUAAUCAACCUGCCCUUCAGAGGGGGACAACAGUUGGAAACGACUGCUAAUACCGCAUACGAUUCAACCUUGGCAUCGAGGAUGAAUGAAAGGUGGCCUCUAUUUAUAAGCUAUCACUGAAGGAGGGGAUUGCGUCUGAUUAGCUAGUUGGAGGGGUAACGGCCCACCAAGGCGAUGAUCAGUAGCCGGUCUGAGAGGAUGAACGGCCACAUUGGGACUGAGACACGGCCCAGACUCCUACGGGAGGCAGCAGUGGGGAAUCUUCCGCAAUGGACGAAAGUCUGACGGAGCAACGCCGCGUGAGUGAUGACGGCCUUCGGGUUGUAAAGCUCUGUUAAUCGGGACGAAAGGCCUUCUUGCGAACAGUUAGAAGGAUUGACG
rnacentral:rRNA from 1 species